rnacentral:rRNA from 2 species
UAGGGAAUCUUCGGCAAUGGACGAAAGUCUGACCGAGCAACGCCGCGUGAGUGAAGAAGGUUUUCGGAUCGUAAAACUCUGUUGUUAGAGAAGAACAAGGACGUUAGUAACUGAACGUCCCCUGACGGUAUCUAACCAGAAAGCCACGGCUAACUACGUGCCAGCAGCCGCGGUAAUACGUAGGUGGCAAGCGUUGUCCGGAUUUAUUGGGCGUAAAGCGAGCGCAGGCGGUUUCUUAAGUCUGAUGUGAAAGCCCCCGGCUCAACCGGGGAGGGUCAUUGGAAACUGGGAGACUUGAGUGCAGAAGAGGAGAGUGGAAUUCCAUGUGUAGCGGUGAAAUGCGUAGAUAUAUGGAGGAACACCAGUGGAGAAGGCGGCUCUCUGGUCUGUAACUGACGCUGAGGCUCGAAAGCGUGGGGAGCAAACAGG